GAGUGGCAGAGGAAGAAGCAGGCUCCCAGCGGAGGAGCCUGAUGUGGGGCUCGAUCCCAGGACUCUGGGAUCACGCCCUGAGCCAAAGGCAGACGCUUAACGACUGCGCCACCCAGGCGCGCCGGUACAUCAUUUUUCUACAGGAGAUGGUAAGACACAGGAUUCCACCACCCGAACCGAGUGAACACAGUUAACAUCACCAGCCACGGGACAAGCCAACCUCUGGUGCCUCCUGAUGAGACACAAAGGGAAGACCAAGUGUCAUUCUUGUGGGUCCUGCCCUGAGAGGCCCAGCCUGAACCAGGUCACAAGGAGCCAGCAGGCCGGCCUGCUGGGGGUGUUCUCUGAAACACCUGCCCAGACUCUCCAAAAAUAUCUGUGCUAUGGAAGACACAUGAAGACUGAGACAUGGCUCCUGAAGCUAAAAAGACAGGAGAACAAAGACAGCAGGGACUGAAUAUGUGUGUUCCUGUCCCCAAACUCGUCUGUUGAAGUCCUCACCCUCCUGGCACCUCAGAGUGGGACUGCCUUUGGAGAUUGGGCCUUGCACGAGGUGACCAAGGGAAAAGACAUGCAGGACCCAGCAAGAAGGUGGCCGUCUGCAAGGCAAGGAGAAGGGGCUCGGGAGAAACCACCCCAACCAGAGCCUUGACCUUGGACUUCCAGCCUGUAGACCUGUGAGACAAUGAAUUUCUGUUGUUUAAGACACCUGGCCGGUGGUAUUUUGUAAGGGCAGCCUAGCAGACUGAUAUCAUAUAUAUUAACAUAAAUUGUGUGUGUGUAUAUAUAAUUUCUAUCAAGUGUAUAUAUAUUUAUACAUAAAAAUUGAUAAUUUCUAGUAAUUGUGUAUAUAUGUCUACACAUAGAGAGAGAGAAAGAGAAAGAGAUAGAAUGGUAAAUGGUUAGCAGUUUGUGAGUCUGGG